rnacentral:rRNA from 1 species
CCUACGGGGGGCUGCAGUGGGGAAUAUUGGACAAUGGGGGCAACCCUGAUCCAGCCAUGCCGCGUGUGUGAAGAAGGCCCUCGGGUUGUAAAGCACUUUCAGUGAGGAAGAACGCCUGGUGGUUAAUACCCAUCAGGAAAGACAUCACUCACAGAAGAAGCACCGGCUAACUCCGUGCCAGCAGCCGCGGUAAUACGGAGGGUGCGAGCGUUAAUCGGAAUUACUGGGCGUAAAGCGCGCGUAGGUGGCUUGAUAAGCCGGUUGUGAAAGCCCCGGGCUCAACCUGGGAACGGCAUCAGGAACUGUCAAGCUAGAGUGCAGGAGAGGAAGGUAGAAUUCCCGGUGUAGCGGUGAAAUGCGUAGAGAUCGGGAGGAAUACCAGUGGCGAAGGCGGCCUUCUGGACUGACACUGACACUGAGGUGCGAAAGCGUGGGUAGCAAACAGGAUUAGAUACCCUUGUAGUC